AAUGAACGUCGGCGGCGUGGAUUAGGCAUGCAAGUCGAGCGAGAACCCGCAAGGGGGACAGCGGCAAACGGGGUAGGAAUGAUUGGUGACGUACCCUCGGGACGGGGAUAGCCACGGGAAACUGUGGGUAAUACCCGAUAAUCUCCCAGGUUUGAAGACCUGGGUGCAAAGGUGUGAUUCCACCGGAGGAGCGGCCAAUCUGGUAUUAGCUAGUUGGUAGGGUAACGGCCUACCAAGGCUACGAUGCCUAGGGGGUGUGAGAGCAUGGCCCCCACCACUGGGACUGAGAUACUGCCCAGACACCUACGGGUGGCUGCAGUCGAGAAUCUUCGGCAAUGGGCGAAAGCCUGACCGAGCGACGCCGCGUGCGGGAUGAAGGCCUUCGGGUUGUAAACCGCUGUCAGAGGGGAUGAAGUUAUAGGAGGUUCUCCUUCUAUAUUGACAGAGCCUCAGAGGAAGCACGGGCUAAGUAUGUGCCAGCCGCCGCUGUAACAC
rnacentral:rRNA from 1 species